rnacentral:rRNA from 1 species
GAUGAACGCUGGCGGCGUGCCUAAUACAUGCAAGUCGAGCGAACAGACGAGGAGCUUGCUCCUCUGACGUUAGCGGCGGACGGGUGAGUAACACGUGGAUAACCUACCUAUAAGACUGGGAUAACUUCGGGAAACCGGAGCUAAUACCGGAUAAUAUAUUGAACCGCAUGGUUCAAUAGUGAAAGACGGUUUUGCUGUCACUUAUAGAUGGAUCCGCGCCGCAUUAGCUAGUUGGUAAGGUAACGGCUUACCAAGGCAACGAUGCGUAGCCGACCUGAGAGGGUGAUCGGCCACACUUGAACUGAGACACGGUCCAGACUCCUACGGGAGGCAGCAGUAGGGAAUCUUCCGCAAAGGGCGGAAGCCUGACGGAGCAACGGCGCGUGAGUGAUGAAGGUCUUCGGAUCGUAAAACUCUGUUAUUAGGGAAGAACAAAUGUGUAAGUAACUAUGCACGUCUUGACGGUACCUAAUCAGAAAGCCACGGCUAACUACGUG